UCCGGUUUGUCACCGGCAGUCUCCCUAGAGUGCCCUUGCGUAGCAACUAGGGACAAGGGUUGCGCUCGUUGCGGGACUUAACCCAACAUCUCACGACACGAGCUGACGACAGCCAUGCAGCACCUGUGUUACGGCUCCCUUUCGGGCACACUCGACUCUCAUCGAGCUCCCCGGCAUGUCAAGGGUAGGUAAGGUUCUUCGCGUUGCAUCGAAUUAAUCCACAUCAUCCACCGCUUGCGCGGGUCCCCGUCAAUUCCUUUGAGUUUUAACCUUGCGGCCGUACUCCCCAGGCGGAUCACUUCACGCGUUAGCUACGGUACCAGGAGAUCGCUCCCCCAACACCUAGUGAUCAUCGUUUAGGGCGUGGACUAC
rnacentral:misc_RNA from 1 species